CAUACUAAUUACAUACGCACUCAUAUAAUAGCAGGGAUAUGGCCUGCGAGUUUCUACCAGAUUACCAGUGUGGUUCGCCACCGAAAUAAUCUGACUAUGAGUGGGAAACAAGCGCCC
rnacentral:ncRNA from 2 species